rnacentral:rRNA from 1 species
GUUACCAGCACGUUAAGGUGGGCACUCGUAAGGAGACCUGCCGGUGACAAACCGGAGGAAGGUGGGGAUGACGUCAAGUCAUCAUGGCCCUUACGGCCUGGGCUACACACGUGCUACAAUGGUCGGUACAAAGGGUUGCCAAGCCGCGAGGUGGAGCUAAUCCCAUAAAACCGAUCGUAGUCCGGAUCGCGGUCUGCAACUCGACUGCGUGAAGUCGGAAUCGCUAGUAAUCGUGAAUCAGAAUGUCACGGUGAAUACGUUCCCGGGCCUU